CUAAUGAUUUAACACCAAUUAAACUGGUGAAACUACUGAACUCCAACACGGUAAUACAUUUUACCGCUUUCUCGUGUUGAUCACACAGACAUUUUGUGUGAAUUGAACAAUGGCGCGAAUGCAAUUCACCUUCAUGUAAAAGAGAAAGUCAUGUGGCACAUUGUAAUCUGCAUCACUGUUUGCCAAGUUCUACCCACCCAAGGUAGUCACAGAGACGUUCUUUUUUUUAAUAUCCUCCAUUAAUAUUGUAUUGGUUCCAAUCCCUAUGUCUGGGUAAAUCUCACCUGAUCUAUGCAGAUAGAUUUAAAAUAAUAUGAAUAUACACAUUUCAAAAAGAAAAAAGUCAUGUCAUUCACAGCGAUUGUUAUCAAACUCAUUUUAGUUAAAGUGAUCCAGAUUUUACUUCAACGGCAAUAUUUCAAUCCUAUACUCAUGCCUCAAGUAAAGUUAUUUUAUGGGAGUAAAAAUAAUAAAGAAUCACAGAGCAGAGAAUUGCUAGUAAACACAUAAAUUAUAUUUUAUUUGUUUAGCUCUUACCCCAUGCCACAGGUAAAACUACAUUGAAGGUAAAGUUGACAGUCAUAUAUUGUAGUAAGCGUACAGGAAUCUGCUGACUGCUAAUAUAUUCCACAAUUCCUAGUGUACAUCCAAACGCCAGGCAUUGUGGGAUGCUGCACAUAAGAAAUACUGUGUAUCCUUCAUCCACUUAGUAGCCAUCUAGGUGGAGGCAGAAGGAGGUCUCCAG